UACGAAGGGGGCUAGCGUUGCUCGGAAUCACUGGGCGUAAAGCGCACGUAGGCGGACUCUUAAGUCGGUGGUGAAAUCCUGGAGCUCAACUCCAGAACUGCCUUCGAUACUGGGAGUCUUGAGUCCGGGAGAGGUGAGUGGAACUGCGAGUGUAGAGGUGAAAUUCGUAGAUAUUCGCAAGAACACCAGUGGCGAAGGCGGCUCACUGGCCCGGUACUGACGCUGAGGUGGCGAAAGCGUGGGGAGCAAACAGG
rnacentral:rRNA from 1 species